rnacentral:rRNA from 1 species
UACGGAGGGUGCAAGCGUUGUCCGGAUUUAUUGGGUUUAAAGGGUGCGUAGGCGGGAGAUUAAGUCAGAGGUGAAAGACUGCAGCUCAACUGUAGCAGUGCCUUUGAUACUGAUUUUCUUGAGUACAGAUGAGGCUGGCGGAAUGGGUGGUGUAGCGGUGAAAUGCAUAGAUACCAUCCAGAACACCGAUUGCGUAGGCAGCCGGCUAAACUGUCACUGACGCUGAGGCACGAAAGCGUGGGGAUCGAACAGG